rnacentral:rRNA from 1 species
GAUGAACGCUGGCGGCGUGCCUAAUACAUGCAAGUCGAGCGAACAGACGCGGCGCUUGCUCCACUGACGUUAGCGGCGGACGGGUGAGUAACACGUGGAUAACCUACCUAUAAGACUGGGAUAACUUCGGGAAACCGGAGCUAAUACCGGAUAAUAUAUUGAACCGCAUGGUUCAAUAGUGAAAGACGGUUUUGCUGUCACUUAUAGAUGGAUCCGCGCCGCAUUAGCUAGUUGGUAAGGUAACGGCUUACCAAGGCAACGAUGCGUAGCCGACCUGAGAGGGUGAUCGGCCACACUGGAACUGAGACACGGUCCAGACUCCUACGGGAGGCAGCAGUAGGGAAUCUUCCGCAAUGGGCGAAAGCCUGACGGAGCAACGCCGCGUGAGUGAUGAAGGUCUUCGGAUCGUAAAACUCUGUUAUUAGGGAAGAACAAAUGUGUAAGUAACUAUGCACGUCUUGACGGUACCUAAUCAGAAAGCCACGGCUAACUACGUG